AUGACGGAAGUGGCCUUAGCUAUAGCUGGCUUAAGAUUGGCUGCAUUGCCGGUCUUGAAGAAGCUCCAUGCUAAUGCUUCAACAUAUUUUGGAGUGGACAUGGCGCGUGAGCUCCAUGAACUGGAGACCACAAUCUUGCCGCAGUUUGAGCUGUUGAUUGAAGCAGCAGACAAGGGAAAACACAGGCCCAAGUUGGACAAGUGGCUUCAGGAACUCAAAGAAGCAUUCUAUCUCGCCGAAGACUUGCUGAACGAGCAUGAGUACAACCUCCUUAAGCUCGAAGCAAAGGGGAAAUAUUCCUUGUCGGCCAAUGCCUCCUUCAUCAAAAGCACUUUUAUGAAGCCUCUGCAUGCUGCAUCAAGCAGGUUGUCCAAUCUGAGCUCCAAGAACAGAAAGCUAAUUCAACAGCUGAAUGAACUGAAGGCUACCCUGGCGAAAGCCAAGGACUUCCGUGAACUGCUCUGCUUACCAUCUGGUUAUAAUGCAGAGAGCCCCAUCAUAUCAUCAGUUGUUGUUCCAGAGACCACAUCACUGCCGCCUCUGAAAGUGAUUGGUCGUGACAAGGAUCGGGAUCACAUAAUAGAUCUUCUUACCAAGACAACUGCUACUACUGAGUCUGGUACAGCUAUGUACUCGGGUUUGGCCAUUGUUGGAGCUGGAGGCAUGGGAAAGUCCACCUUGGCACAACUUGUUUACAGUGACAAGAGGGUCAAAGAAUAUUUUGAUGUGACAAUGUGGGUAAGCAUCUCACGCAAACUUGAUGUCCGCCGUCAUACACGAGAGAUCAUUGAGUCUGCCUCUCAGGGGGAGUGCCCACGCAUUGAUAACCUUGAUACUCUGCAGCGCAAGUUGACAGACAUCCUGCAAGAAUCAGGGAAAUUCCUACUUGUGUUGGAUGAUGUUUGGUUUGAACCUGACAAUGAGAGUGAAUGGGACCAACUGUUAGCUCCUCUAAUUUCCCAACAGAUGGGAAGCAAAGUUUUGGUAACUUCUCGACGGGAUACAUUUCCAGCUGCUCUUUGUUGUGAAGUGUGUCCUCUGGAAAACAUGGAAGAUGCUCAGUUCUUGGCACUCUUCAAGCACCAUGCAUUCUCUGGACCAGAAAUCAAAAAUCUGCAGCUUCAUGAAAAACUUGAAGAUUUUGCAGAGAGGAUUGCUAAAAGACUUGGACUAUCUCCUUUGGCAGCAAAAGUUGUGGGUUCCCAGUUGAAACAAAAAACACAUAUCAAUGCAUGGAAGGAUGCUUUAACUAUAAAGAUUGAAAAAUUAAGUGAGCCCAUGAGAGCUCUAUUGUGGAGUUAUAAGAAGUUAGAUCCAUGUUUGCAGAGGUGCUUCUUAUAUUGCAGCUUGUUUCCAAAAGGCCAUAAGUAUGUCAUUAAUGAUUUGGUUUAUCUUUGGAUGGGUGAGGGUCUUGUUGAUUCAUGUGACCAAAACAAGAGAGUGGAAGAUAUUGGGAGGGAUUGCUUCAAUGAGAUGAUCUCCGUUUCGCUUUUUCAACCAGUUUCUGGGAAAGACACUCCAAAAUACGUUGGCCCGUGUUAUGUUAUGCAUGAUCUCCUGCAUGAGCUGGCAGAAUCACUCUCCAAAGAAGAUUACUUCAGAUUGGAAGAUGAUAAGGUGACAGAAAUACCAUCCACUGUCAGAUUCCUAUCUGUUCGUGUUGGUAGUAUGCAAAAACACAAGCAAAGUAUCUGCCAGCUACAUCAUUUACGCACUAUUAUCUGCAUAGACCCCCUAAUGGAUGAUUUAAGUGAUCUUUUUAAUCAGAUACUACAAAAUUUGAAGAAGCUGCGGGUACUAUCUUUGUCAUCUUACAACAGUAGUAAGUUGCCAGAAUCUAUUGGUGAGUUGAAGCACCUUCGGUAUUUGGACAUCAUCAGAACACUAAUUUCUGAAUUGCCAACAUCACUGUGUACUCUUUACCACUUGCAAUUACUUCUGUUAAAUGUCAAAGUUGAUAGUUUCCCUGAGAAACUCUGCAAUCUAAGGAAGUUACGACAUCUUAAACGACUUCGAAAUACAAUAGCCAUGUCAAACGAAGAAUCGCUGCCUCAAAUUCGUAACAUUGGCAAGCUAACUUCGCUUCAACAAAUUAAGGUAUUUUCUGUGCAGAAGGAAAAGGGAUAUGAGUUGCAACAGCUCAGGGAGAUGAAUGAGAUUCGUGGCAGUUUAUGUGUCACAAAUCUUGAGAAUGUCACUGGGAAGGAUCAAGCCUUAGAAGCAAAGCUACAUCAGAAAAUUCAUCUUGGUGGGUUGAAACUUCUCUGGAGUUGCGAGAAUAGCACAAAUGCGGAGGCUAAUUUACAUUUGGAGAUUUUAGAAGGCCUAAUGCCACCGCCUCAACUUAGGCACCUUAAAAUUUGCGGCUACAAAUAUCCAAAAUAUCCAUGCUGGUUAAUUGAUGGUUCGUAUUUUGAGAAUUUGAAAUCUUUAACUUUUGUUGAUUGCAAUGCAUUACAAUGCCUACCAUGCAAUGCAUGUCUAUUUGAGAAUUGCUCUUCACUUGUCCUCAGCAAUGUGCCGAACCUGAAGACAUUGCCUUGUCUUCCACUAGGCCUUAAACUUUUAGAAGUUGACAAAUGCCCAUUGCUCAUAUUUAUUUGCAACGAUGAGUUGGAGCAUCACAAUAUCAUGAGGGGAAACCACUUGGCAUCACACCUUGGUUUAAUCUGGGAUGUGGAUUCAGGAAAGAAUAUUAGGAGGGCACUCUCAUUGGAACAUUCAUUUCUGAAGGAGCUCGUGAUAUUGAUGCAUGCUGAUGUGUCACAUGUUCAAAAUCUUGAAAGUGCUCUAAAAAGAAAGAAAGAUGAAGUAUUGGUAAAAGAGGAUAUCAUCAAGGCAUGGAUAGACUGUCACGAACAGAUGAUUGGACUCGUGUAUGGAAGGAGCAUUGGGCUGCCGCUGGUUCCACCAUCAGGACUUUGUGAACUUUCUCUUUCUUCAUGCAGUAUUACAGAUGGAGCUUUAGCUGUUUGCCUUGAUGGCCUGGCUUCACUGAGAAAAUUGGUCUUAGAAAAGAUUAUGACAUUAAUGGCACUUCCUUCAGAAGAGGUCCUCCAACAUUUGACAAAACUUAAUCACUUGUCCAUCGGAGGUUGCUGGUGUCUCCGGUCAUUAGGGGGUUUACGAACCGCUACCUGUCUCUCAGAUGUCAGAUUGAAUUCCUGCCCUUCUUUAGAAUUGGCAUGUGGAGCAGAAUGUUGA
rnacentral:rRNA from 1 species